AUGCCCGUGCAGCCCAUGUCAGAGCGCUGGUUCCAGUCCUGGCUGCUCUGCCUUGCACCCGGCUCCCAGCGAGUGUGCCUGGGAAGGCAGCAGACGACGGCCCAAGUAUUGGGGCCCCCACUACCUACGUCGGGGACCAGGAUGGAGUUGCUGGCUCCUAGCUUUGGCCCAGCCCCACCCUGGUCAUUGCAGCCUUUUGGGGGGAGUGCCCCAGCAGAUGGAAGAUCUUUGUCUCUGUCUCUCCCUCUCUCUCUGUCACUCUGGUUUUCAAAUAAAUCAAUCCCUAAAAUGGGGCUCAAGUUACUAGAAAGCAGGAAAAGCUGGGAAGAGCUGCAGGACCACAAAAUUGUGUCCUCCCACCUCACAGCCUGGGCCCAGGGUCACACUCCGCUGGGGCAGGGGCGGGGGGGGAGGGUCCGCGGCAGGGCCCAGUCGGAAUUCUGGGCCCCCCUCCCUGGCUCCUGGCUCCAGAAAAGCCGCAUCAGACAGGGAGCAGGAGGAGGGGCCUCCAUGUGCAUUUCAGAGCCCAGCUGUGGCCACGGGAGGGCCCAGAACCUGCUCCUGGGUCUGCCCAGGCCAGCUGCAGGAGCACACAGAGGGCUCCGGGCCAGCACGUGGCGGGAACUGUGGCCCGGGGUGGCGCCGAGGCCCUUCUACCCCGCAGCUUCUCUCCAUCUCUCCAUCUGCCCGCCCCACGCACACACCCAACACCUCCUGCCGUCUCCCUUACGGUGCUCACUCAGCUCUGAGAGGCUAGUCAGAAUUUGUCCAGGGACAGUGGGGAGAUCGUGGGCGUGGGGCUGGGGGAGGUUCCUAACGUGUGAAGUAAUGUGUGUGGGGCGCCCAGGCUCCGGAGGGCGCAGAGCCCCACCAGCCGCCAGCACACCGCGCAGGUCUCCUGCUCGUGCCCAGGGGGCGCUGUCCCGGAGCCCAGCGGUUCAUCCCGGCCCGCAGGGCGGGGCACACACUCACUGGCCCCUCAGUCGAGGGAUCGAGGGAUCGGCUCACUCGGUCUCCAAGAACUCCCUUUUCAAGGCACUGUGCCAGAAGGAGGGAUUCGGAGCCCCAGUGAAUCACCUCGCAAACCUGCCCGUGAAGUGCCGGGUGGGGCGUGGCUGGGGGCCGGCUGUGGCUGGCGGGGCGGAGGUCCUGUCUCCAAGCCAAGGCUUCCGGACAAUCACAGGAAAAACAGCCACAAGAGACAGGCAGCUCUGGAAACUACACUGCCUCCCCAGAGCCAGGCCCCUCCUGCCCCAGCCUGCAGAACGUCCCCUGUGGGUCCCUUGGCAUUGUGCAGGGUGGGGAAAGGAGAGUCGCAAAGUCACCCAGGAAGGUGCAGCUGAGGACCUGGGGCCCAUUCUGGAAGGAGCCAGAUCCCAUUCUCAGGCGGUGAUCGGGGUCCAUCUCCUAAAAUAG
rnacentral:lncRNA from 1 species